GCAAGUCGAGGGGCAGCAUCAUCAAAGCUUGCUUUGAUGGAUGGCGACCGGCGCACGGGUGAGUAACACGUAUCCAACCUGCCGACAACACUGGGAUAGCCUUUCGAAAGAAAGAUUAAUACCGGAUGGCAUAAUUUUCCCGCAUGGGAUAAUUAUUAAAGAAUUUCGGUUGUCGAUGGGGAUGCGUUCCAUUAGGCAGUUGGCGGGGUAACGGCCCACCAAACCUACGAUGGAUAGGGGUUCUGAGAGGAAGGUCCCCCACAUUGGAACUGAGACACGGUCCAAACUCCUACGGGAGGCAGCAGUGAGGAAUAUUGGUCAAUGGACGAGAGUCUGAACCAGCCAAGUAGCGUGAAGGAUGACUGCCCUAUGGGUUGUAAACUUCUUUUAUACGGGAAUAAAGUGAGCCACGUGUGGUUUUUUGUAUGUACCGUAUGAAUAAGGAUCGGCUAACUCCGUGCCAGCCGCCGCGGUAAUU
rnacentral:rRNA from 1 species